rnacentral:rRNA from 1 species
AACGAACGCUGGCGGCAUGCCUAACACAUGCAAGUCGAACGAGACCUCCGUGUCUAGUGGCGCACGGGUGCGUAACGCGUGGGAACCUGCCCUUAGGUUCGGAAUAACUCCCCGAAAGGGGUGCUAAUACCGGAUAAUGUCUUCGGACCAAAGAUUUAUCGCCUUUGGAUGGGCCCGCGUUGGCUUAGCUAGUUGGUAGGGUAAAAGCCUACCAAGGCGACGAUACAUAGCUGGUCUGAGAGGAUGAUCAGCCACACUGGGACUGAGACACGGCCCAGACUCCUACGGGAGGGAGCAGUGGGGGAUAUUGGACUAUGGGCGAAAGCCUGAUCCAGCAAUGCCGCGUGAGUGAUGAAGGCCUUAGGGUUGUAAAGCUCUUUUACCCGGGAUGAUAAUGACAGUACCGGGAGAAUAAGCACCGGCUAACUCCGUG